UCUCACCGUCAAUGUUAUUAUUUUUUUAAUUAUUGUAUAUCAACGCACACGGACACAAUACCAGACAUGAACCAACUUAGGGGAGUGGUAUGGAAAACAAUUAAGGAUUUUCAUUUGAAUCAAUCGAAAAUGAAUAACAGUAUUGCGGAACGUUUUCAAUGAAGUCAUUCACAAAUUCUCCCCUUACAAACGAGAGAUGAACGGAAUUAUUAUAAUUUAUCCAAAGGUAGAGAUUUUUGAUGACCAAUAAUCCCGAUGUGCCCUUGGCCCCGGCUUAAUUUAUCGAAGUUUAUCUUUAAAAAUGGAAAUCUGCUCUAGUUCAACCUGCCUCUGUUACUGGACACGCUAUAAAGCCUUUUAAGUUGUU